rnacentral:misc_RNA from 1 species
AGCAUUCGGCUAUAGAAUGGCGCAGGUGCAGUUCUUGUCCCUGUUUUCGCGAUGGAUGAAGCCGGUGGACGAGUUUGGACCAGGCCUGGAGGAGUUGAAGAAGCACCUCAUCCAGCUCAUAUCCAGGGUCCAAGGUCUCCAGGCUAUUGUAUUCACAGACCGAGACGGUGUGCCUCUAAUAAAAGCUGCGACAGAUGGAGCACCUGAGCAUGCCUUGAGGCCCAGCUUUCUGGCAACAGUGGGCAUGGCCAUGUCCCAAGGUAACAAGCUUGGCCUGGGCAAGUGCAACAAGAUGAUUUCCUCUUAUGGCAACUAUCAGGUGGUGAGCUUCAACAGGCAUCCUGUGACCAUCACACUUGUUGCAAGCAGUUCAGCUAAUACCGGCAUGAUACUGAACCUUGAAGAGGAGCUAAAUACAGUUUCGCAAACACUGAGGAGCGUUGUUGAAGCUUCUUAAGCAUUAUAUAUAGUGGCACCACAGGUAACUUGGUGUAGGUUGCGGUGCCACAGGGAAAUCGAUCAGCUUCUCAAAUUUGAAAGCUGCAGUACCCAUACAGUCACCAAAAACACCUUUACUUGCAGUAAAUGCACCUGCAAAACGCUCCCAUCGUUGGUGUCAGUUUGGAUUGGCUGCACUGUCAUGCUUUAUUACGAUUUAUUAUGCGUUAUUGCUAAUAAAUAUCUUUGGCAGAACUUUUAAUAUUUCAGCAAAUC